CACACGUGCAAACGCACACAGACAGACACACACAUCUCCACAGGGUAACAAUUUUGGUAGUGUUUUAUGCCCACACCUACCGCAGUUAUAUUUGACGUCUAGAUUGGGAGAUGGGAAUGUUAUCAUAGGAUUAAAAGAGGGACGUUCUCAAUCUUCCUUGAAACCUGUGUGUCUAGGAGGACUGGAUGGAGUCUGUGGGCCAAUGCUUUGAGGUCUUGAUUGAAGUCUGAUUCAUUUGAAUGUGUAGCACUAGUGUGUACUAUUCUCUGGCCAUGCGCCUCAUUCUAUGGAUUUUCAGCAACCUUUUUGCACGUUUUAUUGUCUUCUGUCAAAACCGAUAUUAUUGACAGUAUGUUGUUGGUACUGGAUGUCCCUUGCCACAAAUAAUUAGGUGUAUUUCCAUUUUUCAUUACAUACGAAGGUUCUUGCUAUUGGUCGAUUCAUUCAUUGUUCUACCAAGGGACACGUACGUAUUGGAUAUUAAUAACUAUUCUCAUGUGAAACUCGACACAGCAGAACCUUUUGAAUCAAGCCUUUAUCUCAAGUUGGCCUCUUGAUAACACUUACUUCCCUUUUGUUCCUUUAACUUUGAAUCAAAUAUGACCCCUGUAUACACACACGCACGCACGCACGCGCGCAAAUCUUGGCCAGAGACCUCGGGACAGGUGUGUAAACAGCCGGUCCCCGACAGCAACUGUGUAUAUGUGUGUGAGCGCAUAUUUAUGUGUGUGUGUGUGUGUGUGUGUGUGUGUGUGUGUGUGUGUGCACUCUGUCAUCCUCACUAAACCUUUCUGCUCCUGACCCCACUGCCUCGCCCUUUUCAGUGCACACAUAAACACACAACGUCCCCAAGGGCAAAUCUGAAAUAAGUGAAGGAAAGUAUGAUGAGAGGGAGGAGGGCAAGAAGGAAGCUGUAGAGAGAACGACUGAGACAAGUGGAACAUCCAUCUGUCCUCCAGCUUCUGAACAGCGCGUUGAAUUAGGGUCAUAUUGAGAGUGGGUGGGUGGCAUCUUGCACACACAUACACAUAACCAUACGUGUACACACACACACACACUCACACACGCAUACAUAUUACCAUACACACAGACAUUAACAUACACACACAUGUACAUUAACAUACACGCAAACACACACACAUACACACACACACACACACACACACACACACACACACACACACACCCUAUCCCUCAGUGGGGGAAGGAGCCAUCAGCUGCGGGCCAGGGGGGUAGCUGCCAUCUGCCAGGGCACCGGAGGCCCCUAGGCGAUGGAGGUGAGCUGGACUCAGGUUCCAGCCCCUCCAGUUGAGUCCCGGAGACCCCGGGGACCGGGCCUGUAUUCAAAUUGGAUUCAUGCUUAUGAUUCUAAUGGUGCUCAAAUAUUGACUCACUUCGUAAAUUGCUACCGUUACGAUUUUUAUUGCCUUGUUUUCCUAAGUGUCAGUGUUUACACAAAUGGGUCUAUAAUGGAUUAUGGAUGUUCAACAUCAAAAAUCGUUAUUGUCCCCAAAGGGAAAUUUGUUGCGCAACAGGUGCAUAUACAGUAGGUAUAGAUACAUAAUAAUAAUAAAUGAAAGCCUAUAGGAGCCUAUAUUUUAUUACCAGUAGUCAGUGUUUAAAUAUAUAUAUGUAUGUAUAAUAUAUAUAUAAGUCACAAUCACUGGUAUACUGACUCCAUUACUGUCUGAUUCCAGUCAUUUUCUACUCAUAAUUUCACUAAAGGUACAUUUAUUUAGUCUUCCUGUAGUAUUCUCCCCAGUCACGUCGUGCUCGGGUGCGUCUCUGUGAUUGACACGCUGUUAGCUCGGCGGUCCAUGUGUGAUGCCGUGGCCGAGGAUAAAUAGAGAUAACACAGAUAGGAGAGGAGCUGGAGUGGAGUUCAUCCUCUCAGUGAGCUCUCUGUGUCCCACUUCCCCUCAGCAUAGACGCCCUCUAUGUAGAGAGCUCUGAAUGGGCCGAGUGUUUCUACUGUGUGUGUGUGUGUUUUUGUGUGUGUGUGUGUGUGUGUGUGUGCGGCGCAUGUGUGCAGUGGCAUGGCGGGUAAAAUUUCACCGCGGGUAAAACAUUUAGAAUGAGCCUUUCACUGCGUGACACUGGCCCCUUCUGACAAAAGGAAUGGGUUUUUUUUCGGUACCACCAUUUGCAUGAAUGAGCACAUGCAUAAAGAGGCGACGCACGCACGCAACCAGAACCUAAUAUCUACGGGCACUCGCGUGCACACGCACGCACAUACACACAGGCUGCGUUCUGAGGGCCUUUAUUUGGAACAAGUCGGCGUUGUGCUGUUCUGACGGUCAGCCGGCCCUCCCUAGUGUAUCCCCGCUUCUAAUCAUCCCCAACAUGUCUCCCGCACUGGAACCCUUCCAGCCGCUCCGCAGUCCGCAGACGGGCAGAGAGGCUGUGUUUUCAGAUGGCAGAAGGUGUGGAAAGCAGCAAUGUUGUUCACACAUGUAUACAUUUAGGCAUUUGGCAGACGCUGUUAUCCAAAGUGACCUACAAUAAGUACAAUUGUCAGAAGAAGGAGAAACAAUGCCUUGGUGUCUUUUUUUUUUUAAAGAUUUAUUUUUGCAUUUCAAUGCUUUAUUAUAGAGUGAGAUAGAGAGGAAGGUACGGGAGAUAGAGGGGAGGACAUGCAGCAAAUGACCACGGGCAGGACUCGAACCCGGGUCGCUGCGUUCAGGACUGAGCCUAUAUGGUACGCCCUCUACCCGGUGAGCCACCAGGGGGGCCCCACAAUGCAUUGGUGUCUGUACAGUAAGGAUGUUCAUAGAACCAAGUACCAAGCACCAAUAAUCGCAAGGUUAACCCAUUCCCCGUAAUACCCAUAUACAACAAAGACAGCUAGGAUAAUGUUCUAAUGUUCCUCUGCAUGACCACGCUUUGAUUUAGACGUUGGCUCACAUGCUUUGAUUGUCUCCGUUCCGUUGUGCUCGCUCUAGCUCCGCGUCGCCCCACCCUCCCUUAAUGACGAGCUCCUAUGGGUGCACUUAUACGUUGGGCUGCUCUCUCUGCAGUACUGCGCUGCAGGAAGGUAUCGGACCUGUUUACAGGCCCGAGUCGUCUCGGCGGUAAAUGGAGCGGAAACAUCCCUUCAGCGCCGUGACAAUUAGGAUCAAUCAUGUACGAUUAUACUGAAGGCUCUCCUCAUUCCUGCAGUGUGUUGCACGCAGCGUUGGAAACGGCUCCCAGAGCACAGGUUCAAAGGAGAUCUGACGCCUCUAAUCCUAAACCCCAGUGUGGGAAAUCACAAAAAACAAGCAAAAACAUUUGGGGCUUUUAUUUAAUCAAGUACAAUUGAAUAUCAAGAACACUUAAAAACACUGUGGAAUAUCCAAUAUCCAAGUACACAAAAAUAAAUGGAAAAACACUUACACAACACUCUUCAAGUGUCAGGUGUUCUCAUGGUUUGACACAGCCUCAGUGUCUGGUCCUUGAUCUAUUUUCACCUUGCCACCCUUCCAUUUAUUUCCAUUUGUUUAUUAGUUUGUUCUUAUUUGGGACUCGGCUGGUUUUAAGCAGUAUGACCUCUUGGGGUUCAAGGUGUCAGGCAUUGGAUGACAUCCCUCCUGUUCCGGAUUCCAACCGGUUGUGAAAUACAAUUUACAGGUCAUUAGGGAUCAUUACAAUAAACAAGCCGUCAUGAAAUUGCCAAGAACCCCAAAUUUCACAAUCACUAAACUGCAUUGACAGAUCUGUUGCUUCACUUCUUUGUCAAGUUGACAAAUGUCAGCCGUAAGACAGUAAAAG